AAGUCGAACGGUAACAGGAAGCAGCUUGCUGCUUUGCUGACGAGUGGCGGACGGGUGAGUAAUGUCUGGGAAACUGCCUGAUGGAGGGGGAUAACUACUGGAAACGGUGGCUAAUACCGCAUAACGUCGCAAGACCAAAGAGGGGGACCUUCGGGCCUCUUGCCAUCAGAUGUGCCCAGAUGGGAUUAGCUAGUUGGUGAGGUAACGGCUCACCAAGGCGACGAUCCCUAGCUGGUCUGAGAGGAUGACCAGCCACACUGGAACUGAGACACGGUCCAGACUCCUACGGGAGGCAGCAGUGGGGAAUAUUGCACAAUGGGCGCAAGCCUGAUGCAGCCAUGCCGCGUGUAUGAAGAAGGCCUUCGGGUUGUAAAGUACUUUCAGC
rnacentral:rRNA from 1 species